rnacentral:lncRNA from 1 species
UCAUCAUUACACCCACUAUCUUCCCCCACUAUCUCAUAUUUAACAAUAAAAACUACUAUUACACCCACUAUUUUCCUCCACUAUCUCAAAUCUAUUAUUAAAUAUUGAUAGGUCCCACCACUUUACCCACUUUUCAUCUAACUUUACUCAUUUUUCAUACAUUGUCUUGGUCUCCGUGUCCCCCUCCAAUGUAAACAAUUGAGGGGGACGGAGGGAG